GUUCGAGUGAGUAAAAAGAGUUUGGACUCCGAAUACAAGUACUCGGUAUACGUCUGAAACUCUGAAGUUACAUUAUAUACAGUGAUUUGAUCUCUCUCCGUGCUCUCUAUUAUACUCCUUAGGAAAUUCCUCAUAAAUCAAUAUCAUGCAGUCUGUAUCUCAUGGAUCUUAUGUUUUCAAAAAACCCUAUACUGAAUCCUCACUGUUUACCAAGAAGAAUCCAUUAAUUCACCAUGACUUUGCUCCUCCCAAGAAACUUGUGUUUCCAGUGUUGAAGAAGCAGAAACCACUUAUUGUCAAAUCUUCUAUCAAGGAUGUAGUCAAAACAUCUGCUGUAUUGACUAAUCAGAUAAUCCCGGUUUCAAUUUUUCAGUCCCUUGCAUCUUUUGAUAGAUGGGUUGUUCAAUCUGUAUCAGACUUGAUUGCCUUUAAACCUAAGGCUAAUAUACUCUCUAUCGGAUUCUUCGAAGAGGGAGAUUUAAUACAGUUGAACCACGAUGGGAACAGCAUUGUUGGAGUGGUGCAGCACAUAGGGUUUUUCGAGACCACACUUAUAGGUCCUAUAGGAUCGAUCAUUCUUCAGAACUUUAAAAUUGAUAAGUACUCGAUUAUCAAUCAAACUCAAACAGUGGGUGAUGAAAAGUUGUUUGGAAUGUACACCCGUUUUGAUGGCAAGAAUUAUCCACAUUAUACGUAUAUUGAGGAGGUUAAGUCUGUACUUCAGAAGAUUGAGAACACCAAAGACAAUUACAAAGCGGUUGUCACACUGCCUAAUGAUAAGUUCGAAGUUGCAUGCUAUGUGAACAGAUCUAAGCUGCAAAGUCCUCUAUUUAAAAGUUACCUUGAAGUUAGUGCACAAGUCUUUGCCGAGAUUGAUAGGAAUAUCAGUAGAAAUAAGUCUGUUGCGGAUUAUCUUAAAUUGUGGUGAGGUUGGGGGCCUUCUGAUGUCAAUUGUAGAUGAUUAUAUAGGAAUAUUUUAAAUGCAAAUCUUAUUUGGUAGAUGCGUUGUUCAAAAACUUGUUGAUAUUGAUUUGUAAUUAGCUGGUGAUUGGUUGGUUGGAAUGCUUCAAUUUCUUGUCUUGAUAGUUUUUCUUAUUUUUCCUUCUUUCUUCUAGUAUCUUCUGUCUAUCUGUUAGUUCUAGUUCUUUUUAUCCUUAUUGGCAUGCAAAUUCUGCGGAUGUUUCUUCGUGGAAUGUUUUCGAAUUCCAUGGCAUAAGCAUCAUCGACAAAGAAGGCGUGGUUCUUGUGGAAGUGAUGUUUGAAGUGAUAUCAUGGCUCUCGUAUCAUGUGAAACACUUGUAUCUGCUGCCACUCCUAACAAGGUAAAUCAAAAACUUGUAUUUGCAUUGGCUCUACUACAAGGCACGCUGGGUUGGCAAAAGUACAAGUUCAAGGCUAUCUAAUUUAGGUUUGUACGUGUUAACAAGGGAUCCCAUUAUACUUUGAGUGAAGCAAAAACUAAUGCUUUUAGAGAUCAGACUGCAGGAAUAACCACCCGUUCAAGAGCUAAAUUGGCUCCGGAUCAAUGGACAGUGAUGUCAAUUCUGGCGAAGAUUGUUUUCUUUGUUGGGCGAUUGAAAUUCAAGAUCAAGCUUUGUCUGGCAACGAUGAGGAUAGUGACUGGGAGGAAGUUCAAGAUCAGGGAGCUUGGCAGACCAAGAUCAGUUAUACUCGGUUGGCACAACCGUUGGUGACAAGCACACUACUGAGCAACUUGAUGCAAUGUCAAAGGUGUUUAAUGAGAUGAUGAUGGUUAUGAAGACGAUGUUCUGAUCCGAUCAGAUCCUCUUAAUGAGAUAAAUCUGGUUAGUUAUAUCUCGGAUUUCUUGCUGUAGUUUAUCGAGCGAGAGCUUGAUCAUCAUAUUUGAACUUGGUGGUAUGGUGUAAAAGAUAAUCUCUUAGAGGCAGACCCAAUGUUGUUUGAGUUUGUAAACUCAAACAACACUUUGUGCAGGGUUAAUGUUGUUCGUUUAUUUCCUUUAUUUAUGGCAAUUUCAGGAAUAAUUCUUUUAUAUAUUUAAUUAUAAUAGCAUAGAAAAUGAGUUUGAAG